rfam:Aspergillus bombycis strain NRRL26010 contig00193, whole genome shotgun sequence.
UCGAAUGAUGACUCUAUGACACGCUAUGGCAUUCCUCAAACUUAAUCACCAUGUGGAAUUCGUGUAUAACUAAAGUUUCAGCCUUGUCUGACA